GCGAAUGAGUAAUCGCUGCAACGCUUUGACGUUGUUGAGGAAAGUCCAUGCUCACACGAUUCUGAGAUGAACGUAGUGUUCGUGCUUCGCGAAAUCAUAAGCGGAGGUAGCAGCAAUGCUAACGGCGAAAGGAAAACCUAAGUUUUCGGAUAUGGUUGAAACUUUCUGAAAGUGCCACAGUGACGAAGUCGUAUAGGAAACUUUACGAGUGGAACGAGGUAAACCCCACGAGUGAGCAACCCAAAUUAUGGUAGGGGCGUUCUCCUGAAAGAAAUGAAUGGAUGGAGAGAUAGGUAUGCUUGCAUAUCUAUAGAUAGAUGAUUACUACCCGAGUAGUACGAGGCUUUUAGCUGUUUGAGUACGAAGGGCACAAAACAUGGCUUACAGUU
rnacentral:RNase_P_RNA from 3 species